UUUUUUUUUUUUUUUUUUUUUUUUUUUCUUUUUUCAGGCUGUGUAUUUCAUCGCAAGCUGUUAACAGUGCUUGGUAGAUAAUGUUCAGAGUAAGAGCUCGGGUACUGCCGGAGUACCAGCUACCAGUUAUGGAAACAGCGCUUGCUUAGCUAGUAUUCGGUUGACUCAAAAGUCGUAUAUCACUUAGGUGGAGGUCACUUAUUUGGCAUUCUCAGGUCCCGAAUAUUUAGCAUGUGAGUGACAGAGAACCAGCAGGGGGGGUGUGUGUGUGUUGGGGGGGAGGGCAGCAAAAUCAAGCUUCAGAAGCCAGUCGGGUAUGGGAAGUCGCUUCUGCCCUUGACUCACGAUGGUCCUUUCAGGCCCACACUAGAGCUCCAUCAUUCUCCCUGUAGGUAUGGCCCUGACCACCUCGUCUCCCGUUUUCAACAAGAAAACUGAGAGCAGCAAGAGAGAAUGUCAGGCAUGAGCGGGGAAGAGUCCCACGGCGUGGCUGUUUCCCCCCGGGGACCCCGGGCUAAGAGAGCCGAGGAGCCUUCCGUGUUACUGCUUAUGACUGCAUGUGGGUCCACACGCCCGCAGUACAGAUUUCAGCUAAAAAAACCCCAGCAUGGCCGACUGCGGCCUUGUGGCGCGGGAGCAGGGCCGAACGGGGAGGCUGGCACGGUCGUUUGCGAAGGCACCUUGUGUAAUAGUUGUUCAUUGUAGUGACCCUGAGUCAUCGCCCAAAAAGGUUAGAUUAAUCAUAUGUUGAUUCACCAGGCUCUGCUUCAGAGAUGGGGAAGUUUGAGAGAUACUUUAGAAUGAUUUAGACGCAGGAGUUUUACAUGGAAAAUUAACUUCUCCAUGCUUCCCACCCGCACCCCCCCCCCGUGAUGUGCAGCUGCUUAGUGGGUUAACCUGAUGUGUCAAAUCAACCUUCCCGUGUGUCCAGAUACCAAAAUAUGAUUUAUUUUCACCAGAUUUGCAGGGAAAAAAAGUGAUUCACGAACAGAUUCAAACGAUGUUUCAAUACCAUUACUGGCUUGUUCCUCUGCGUUCCUAAUGUGAAUUGCCAUGUUUUUAGUCGAAAUAAUACACAAAAAUUGGAGUUUUUAAAGUAGGGAUCAGAGAGGACCCUCUGGUGGAUACCAGGGAAGUCAUGUAUACCCUGGCAGACAGAGCCGCUAAAGAAAAGGCGUUUCGGGAGUUCCCGCUGUGGGGCACGGGUCAAGAAUCUGACCGCAGCAGCUUAGGUCGCUGUGGAGGCAUGGGUUCGAUCCCUGGCCUGGGAAUUUCCAUAUGCCAGGGGUGCAGCCAUUAAAAAAAAACAAAAAGUAAAAUUAAAGAAAAGGAGUUUCAAGUGUGAAGGAAGCCUCAAAACGUAAAUAUUAAAAUUUAAUUGUAAGUCAUCAAAUGAGAAGAGUAAAAGGAAGGAGUGGUUCCUCCGCCGACCCCCCCAAGCCCCAACUAUAGGCUUGUUCUGAGAACCGUGGGAUUUAGAGCUGGAAGCGACUUUAGAGGUCGCUUGGCCUGCUCUUAUGAGUUUGCCUUUAUUUUACUCAGUAUUCUUCCACAGUUCAUGUCUGUGCCCAGAAUUGAACAUGUCACCUGGAGUCGUGUCUGCAUAGCUUCUCUGGCAGGAGGACUAAUCCUAAUUAAAUGUGCUCACUUGGCAGAGAUGAUUAUGUAUUUUUUAGGUUCCUUGUUAAUUUUAUUCUCAGAAGCUCCGUUUUGCGGAUGGAGACCCCUGUGGCACUCCAUGGCGAGGCACCAGAACUCUUUCUUGGCAUUGUGACGUGUUUUUGGACACUUCGUGGUAAUCCCAGAAUUGAAAACUCCCCAGGACAGCUGGUACCUGCUAAUAGUUCUCAGGCAUUUCGAUUUUAUCUGCUUAACUAUAGAGCAUUGCUGGGCCUAAGUUUUAAUAAUCAUACUCACAGAUGUAUUUCAUUUCAUUUUAUGUUACUUUAUUGGCCACGCCUGUGGCAUAUGGAAGUUCUGGGGCCAGGGGUCAAACCUUUAAUCCCCCAAAAUGGUUGGUGUGGCCUUUUCUGCUUGGUUUUGGGUUUUGGCUUUUUACUAAGAGAAAUUGCUUCUUUUGAAGAGGUAAUUAAUUUUGAAAUUUGGUCUUCUGGGUGUCCAUGGAAACGAUUCCCUGAUUGCCAUGCUGAAGGUGGAAGUAUUCUCUUAAGGUUAAGAAGUUGGUGGCCCUGUCAGCAAAAGGAAAUGGAUCUGAACUACACAUGAGAAAUAAGAACCAGUGCUCUGGAUGUUAGAUACUCACAGCCGAUGGAAAAGUAACGCAAACCAUUACUUCCCAGCAAGCAAGGAGCGAGUCUCGUGCUGACUCUUUGGGGUGUGGAUGGCGAAGGGAGGUCUGCGGGGUGCAAGAGCUCGUGUGUCCUGUGGGAGAGCCGGUGGGGCUGCCCCAGCGCCGUCCGCCGGUCGAGAUGAUGUGCCUAGAGCAUCCGCUGGGUAGGCCGGCUGCAGGGACACCUGUUGAGGUGGGGAUGGCGGGGUUGGAGGUGCAGGGAAGGAAGCAUCCAGGCAGGGAUUUGAGCAGCUGCUGGCUGCCCAGAGCUCAGCCUCCGUGAAUCAGAGGCACAGGGAGCUCAUCCGUGGGCUUGGAGGCCGGCAGGGAGGAAGCAAGGGAGCCCGCUUUCAGUCAGGACCCUGAUGCCCCCAGAGUCCUGGAAAGGCAGGCCAGAAGUUGGUGGGGCAGUUACGAGCAUCUCGGUCCAUAGCGUCCGUGGUUUGGGGGAACGCUUUUCCCCCUUCGGGUAAUCCUGAUCUCGCAUUUGAAGUAAGUGCCCUGGGUCUGCUUUAAAAGGCGACUAAAAAGGCUUUUACGGGACAUGGCUUAUUUAUAAAGGGGGUCAUCGAGAAUUUAGUCAAUUGAUUUAAGGUUGUCGGAGGAGUGAAGCGUUACGUGAUCGCUGGUCCUAUCCAGGAUUUCACAAUUUCAAGGAAAAGUGGACAAUGCCUGCUUGUCUCCCAGGGAUUGGGGCAGUCCCACGGUCUGCACACCAGCCCCCGGAGCAGCCGGGCUCCGGCCGUCUCUAUCCCUUGGCGAGAGUGAGUCUCGGCAUGCGUGGGAUGUGCUGGCCUGGGAGUCACUUAGCCGAGAACUGGUUUGGGUCAUAGCCUCAGGUCUGCAUCGAAGCUGCACAUCAUGGGGCUGGGACAUUUGCAUGGCCUGGCGGAGUAGCUUGGGUGCACGUCGGAGGAGGCGGCAGGAGUCGAGUGCGAGGGGAGCAGCUUUGCCCACAAGCACGCUGCAGUCCUGCACCUAGACGGUGGCCGUGACUGUGGGGGGUGGCCCGGAGGAGAGAGCUGCCCUGCGAUGCUCACACAUAAACCCGGGACACGUGGACAGUCUAUAGGAAGGAGUCUGCAGCCACAAACCUCUUUGGGUGUCUGUGAUGGAAGGGGACUUUUGGCUCUGUGAAGCGUCAUGUUUAUAAACGCCCGCCCGGUGCUUCACUUACAGCUCGAUUCUCUCAUUAUGAGUGUGAUGAUGGCAGAAAUAAACCGAGCGAGUUGGCCUGCAGAAAUCACAUGAGCUCGCUUUUCUGUGGCUUUCAUUUUCUAAAUGUGGAUGUUCCUAUUCUGUCUCUUGCAGAUGUACACACAGCAAGGCUGGUGUGCAGAUAAUUGCGAGCGAGCGAGCGUCAUACCGUCCUCUUGCUGAGUGACCGGGAAUUUUCAGGGGCCUUAUGGGAGAGCGCCAGCAGGAUAGCAGACCCCCUGUUACCCGACUGCGUGUCCUUCCUCUUCUCUCUGGUGUCCUGAGAGAAGGGCCCCGGUGUUAGCUCCUCAGUGGAAAGGUCACGCGUGACCCGCACGGGGGCUCCGUGGAGACUGCAUUUUCCUCCCCACUGUCUUCAAGGCAGUGUGAU
rnacentral:lncRNA from 1 species